GACGAACCGUGCGAACGUUAUUCGGAAUCAUUGGGCUUAAAGGGCGCGCAGGCGGGUCAGCACGUUGGAACUGAAAUCCCCCGGCUCAACCGGGGAACGGGCUCCGAUACGGCUGGCCUCGAGGUGAGAAGGGGGACCUGGAACGUCCGGUGGAGCGGUGAAAUGCGUUGAGAUCGGACGGAACGCCGAUGGCGAAAGCAAGGUCCUGGACUCAUAUCUGACGCUGAGGCGCGAAAGCCAGGGGAGCGAACGGG
rnacentral:rRNA from 1 species